rnacentral:rRNA from 1 species
UACAGAGGGUGCAAGCGUUGUUCGGAAUUAUUGGGCGUAAAGGGCGCGUAGGCGGUUCGGCAAGUCUCUAGUGAAAUCUCAGGGCUCAACUCUGAGUCUGCUGGGGAAACUGCCGGGCUUGAGUGUGGGAGAGGAGAGUGGAAUUCCCGGUGUAGCGGUGAAAUGCGUAGAUAUCUGGAGGAACACCCGUAGCGAAGGCGGCACUCUGGGCCGGUACUGACGCUGAGGAGCGAAAGCGUGGGGAGCAAACAGG